UACCAUCAUCAUCAUCAUCAUCUCCUCAUCUGUUCAUUUAGGGUCAGAUCCCUGCCUCUUCCUACCUCUUAGGUCGUGAGCCCCGUCUGGGGUGGGAGACUACAGUCCUUCUGAUUAUCCUGAACCUUCCCCAGGGCUGGGCAUGUAGUUAGCGCUUAAAAUCCCACCGUGAUGGUUGUUAUCUUUAUUUUCUGACGUGUCUACACUCCCUCUCCAGCCAGUUGGGGCCUCGCACACUGCAUUGUGAACACGGGGCUGAAAACAAAGAUGGCCACAAGAAAUCUGCUUUUUCAGCCUCUGAAAUUCCAAGUGGAAAGACCGUGGUGAUGCCCGCCAAAGGAAGGACGCUCUGAUUCUGGAUCGGCUCCCAGAGGAAGCAUCCUUGCCCCUUGGGAGCGGGAUAGAUUCUGAGGGAAAAGACCUGGCGAAGGGGGAGGUGGCGAAGAGGGUGCGUGUGGAUACCAUCUUCCUCCAAAGCCAACUAGCGACAUGAAGAAGUUCUGGCCGGUCAGGAGGCAGCCCCGGCUUCAGACAUCUCCUCCACUGGAUUGAAAGUUGGGGAGGGGACCAGUAGGACCUGCUCUUCCCUGGUCGCAGCAUUGUUGUUCAACCUCCCUGGGCUUCGGGUUCCCCGCCUGUAAAACGGCAGGGGUGGUGGCGGUCCCCGACCGACCUGCUUCACGGGACCGGGAUGGCUAAUGGCUGGAAAUGAAGUAGCUGGGACAGCGCCGAGCUGAAAGUGAAAAGGAGCGUAAACAUGUUACCUUGCUUCCAGCGGCCAAGGCGUAGCCGCCUCCCACCAGAACCACGAUCUCCCACGGCAUUGUCUUCUGGAAGUCCUUCCAGCGGGGCUUCUUGGCCGGGAUGAGGAAGAGGAGGAAGCCGAGGAAGACGGAGACGGUGGCAUCGGUGCGGUAGCCUUUCCUGAUGAAGAAAUUGAGGCCCAGG